rnacentral:rRNA from 1 species
UACGUAGGGUGCAAGCGUUGUCCGGAAUUAUUGGGCGUAAAGAGCUUGUAGGCGGUUUGUCGCGUCUGCUGUGAAAUUUCGGGGCUCAACCCCGAACUUGCAGUGGGUACGGGCAGACUAGAGUGUGGUAGGGGAGACUGGAAUUCCUGGUGUAGCGGUGAAAUGCGCAGAUAUCAGGAGGAACACCGAUGGCAAAGGCAGGUCUCUGGGCCACUACUGACGCUGAGAAGCGAAAGCAUGGGGAGCGAACAGG